CAGCUCACCGACACCUUCACUCCACACUGGUGCCUCCGUGAACGAUGAAGCCACCAGCGACCCUGUCCAUGGUUCUUUCAAUUUUUUAUUGAACCUCUCCAUUUUGUAGAGAACAUAGUACAUGCAAUUGAAUGAAGUAAGUCUCUUUGUAUGGAAUCGAAGGAACAUGUGAAGGAAAGAAAACGAUCAUGCCCUGAAACCAAGCAACCACAAUGUGUUGGAUCCAUUUGCCAUGUUUGUAUCUCUGGGGAGUGGUUGGGCCAAGAGCUCACCCUAAGGAUUUAUAGAUGUUUUACACAGUCGGAGGUUAAACAGAUGUGUCGCCAUUACUCUUUGCUUAUUGUUCAUCGACCUCGGGUGAUAAAGUCCAAAACGUGGUGGGAAAUGAAGAAAUCUUCGGAUUGUCGUCCCAGUUACUGCCCCUCUUGGGCCCUUUCUUGGCCAUUAUCGUAGAUAGAAUUUGCUUCAAGAUAUUGUUGGCUAUCGUGCAGACAUCCUUUGUCUUCAAGAGGUUGAAUUUAAUAAGGCUGCACAGUCUUUGAUUGGUGCAAUGGUUCCAAGUGCUUAGAAUAAAGCUGCUUUGAAUUGAUUGCUCAAGGAUAAUAUUGCACUAAUGACUCUUCUGGAGGCAAAAUUUAUUGCUAAUAAGUGACAAAUUUUCUAUAUAGUAAGCACACGUCUUAGCCUUUUUAUCUUGUAUUUUAGUCUUUAUUCUCGGUUAUUCAUCUAUGACUAUAUUCCUCAAAUUGUUGUAGUUUGAGUUUAUGGCUUCUUUUAUCCUUGCAUCCAUUCCAUGAUGACAGAAAGGGAGAUACAGCAAUUUGUCUUAGUGUGCUGCAUUAUAUAUUGUGUUUUGUGUGUAGGUGACAAUGUUUGUUCACCUUUUCAUAUGUCCUGGCUUAGCUGACCAUGAUAAUUUUUAUAUUUAUUUGUAUACCUUGUUCUCUACUAAUUCAUGGCUAUAAAAGAAGGUAUAGGACUGUUACUCAAUGUUGGUCCCAGCUAUCUGGGGUCUUUGUAGUGGUGGGCUGGAUGGGGACUUAACCUUUGUCAUUGUUUUGGCACAAAGUGGUUGUUCUUAUCUUGAACUCACCUUAUCUUGCUUGCCAUUUGUCCUUAUCGGCAAUGCCAAUGGUCACCCAUGCUUCAUAACCAAUAGUUUAUAAUGGCUUUGCUGCACUUGUAAUACAAGUUCCAAGGUCUAUUUGUUGUGUCAAACUUUUUGUGUAGUUUAAAAACAUGUGGCUUUUUAAUUUUGUGCUUAGAGCCUCCGACAUUAUCAAUUACCUCGGGUUCAAAGGCCUAUGGCUGAUGUUUAUGCUUCAAUAGAGCUAUAGUUCAUCCAAUGUUCUCUCUCUCUCUCUCCACCCCUCCUCAAUCCUUUAAAUGUUAAUGUUAAACUGUUCCUUCUAAAUUUAUACUGGUGGACUACCAAUAUGAUUUAUUGCAUUUAGAGAAAAAAUCUGAUAAGUGACUACCUAAGCUGCCCCAACUUCCAUCAUAGCAUUGAUGUGUGACCAAACAUCUUCUAGUAGCUUCUUAUAGACAAUCUGAUCAACUUCAUGGUUGUUGCAUGUUACUAGUAUGCCAUACCAGUAACAUGAUAAUAUUAAAAUGUGAGAUUUUUGUUAUUUCAAGAAAAAAACAACAUUAAAAGGGGUAGCUGAAGAUCCAUGCCAUCAAUUACAUGGUUUGUUGCUCUGUACAUCUGUAUGAACUAUGAAUUUCAAUGAGAUUAGUGAAAUAUAUCAAGCAUCUGGUUAAGUAAUUAGCUCAUGCCCAGGUUCCCUAACUGCUGGUGGUUAUGUUUGUAGCCAGGAUAAACCAACUAAUAUAAAACUUAAAAUGGUAGAAUGAAAAACCUCUCAAGAGAUAAUAUCAAGGUAGAAGGAAAGAAGUUAUUUCUUGGGGGAUUUCUUAGACAGAGGUUUCUUGGUUGAGUUGGAAAUGUCCAAACAAAAUCAAAUACUCUUUUCUGUUGCCAUGUUCUAAUCUUCAGAAUUUUGGCUAAAAUCCUCUAAGAGAUAUUAGGAUAUUUAAAACUUAUUUUGAGAUUGAAAUUUGAUGUGGCUAGAAGGUAUAGAAAGAUUUUGGAAAUGGAUAAGCUUUUGGUUUUGGACUUUGUGAGUGUGGAGUUGAGAUCUGAAUAGAUGGAAGGAAAAUGAUAUUGGUAUUUUUAGAUAAGGUUUCAGAUAUGAAACAAAGACAUAUGUAUCUUUUUCUUUCCCCUUUGCACUCUUGUUUGACAUAAUUGAAAAUCUAGGUACCAUUGAGAAAAUGACAAUUGACAUGUAAGGUAUAUUCUGGUUUCCUUGAUUCCAUCUUUUUGCAUGAAAAAGAAAUAUAUCAUAGAUGGUAAAGAUGCAAAUUUCUUUCUAUUUGUCUUUUUCUAUAGAUUUAUGAAUGUCGAAAUCCAUAAAGAUCUUCUAUUGUUAACAGAAUACUUUUGCCCUCCCUAAUCCCUAACUCCAUGUUCCUUCAUAUCUUUAGCUUACUUGAAUCGGAUUCCAUGCACUUAUUGGACUUCAACUCCUGUCUUUAUUUCCAUGAAAUGCCAACAAAAAUCUUUACUAAAAAUAAGUAGAUCUUUAGUAGCUAUGAAAGUCAAAACAUUUAACAAAUUAAAGAUGUUUCUUGUAGAUCUUUGUCUUGGGUAAUAGCAUUAAAAGUAUCUUUGUAAAUUUGAUAUUUGUUUACUGCUUGCUAGAUAUUGUAUUCUGCUGAACUUUUAUAUUGAUUACUUUUAUGUUGGGUUGUCAGUUUCCUGCAUUACUCUUCAUGUGGUAACACAUUAGUUGUUUACUUAGAAUACAGACCAAUAUCUUAAAAACUAUCUUGAGCUACCUACUCAGCUAACUGGGUUAACUGGUUCAAUAGGACAAUUCACCUAUUCUAACGAUCAAAACCAUAAAAUAUUCAACUGCCUGGAUAAUUGGAUCAAUCAUCUGGGUUAAUGUCAUUUUGAAAACAUUGGCACAAGCCCCACUUUUAGUUUAAGAACUAUUCUAAAUUAUGCAUGUGUUGGUACUCUACUCUAGGAAAUUGAAACUCAUUUGUUAACAUGAUGAAAUUAGCAUUUUCAAUUUAUUUUCUUCUCGAUAUAAAUUCACAAAGUGAUGCUGGUACCCCAUUGAUUUGGAUUGUUGGGAAUGGUCAACAAGAUGAUGUAAAGUUACCCCAACAUGAAUAAGCAUUUACUGUUGUACCAUUUCUUUUGCUAACUGUGAACCUUUAUUUCAGUUCUCACUGUCAUGCUUAGAAUUGUUGAUUUAGUUGAGCGCAUCUCUUAGUCUUCCAAUACUUAUGGUUAACUAUUCUGGUUAAUUUAGGUUACCAUGUAGUAAAGUUGCCUGGUUUCUUGCUAUUAUUCAUCUAUGAUGCCUUAUGUAUGAAAUUUUGUUAUACAAUUAUAAAUUGGUCUGUAAUUGUUCUAGAAAAUACAUGUCUCUCUCUCUUUCUGGAGUUGUUUUAGGCAUUGCUCCGUCUUAGACACUGCUCCACCUCUCUAUUGCCUCAGAGAUCCAAGCGUUUUAUUUAUUCUCCCUUUCAGAUCAAUAGAAGAGGGCACGAAAAAAGGCGUUAGGUACAACUUUACAACUUUCAUGUUUUGAGUUUUGAUAGAUUUGGACUGCAUCGAGGUCAAAAUCGAGCCCGAAGUCUAAGCCAAUUUGUAGAGAAGCCCAGUUUGCAGUAGAAGCCCAAUUCACAGAGAAGCCUUACAGCGACCUAAUUCUUUGAGAAAGCCCAAUACGAAUUUAGCAUGCAUGAAUAAGAAUCAUCAAAGAGUCCUAUCAGAUUCAAUUUUCUAUUGUAUUUCUAGAAAGAUAAAAGAUAUUAAGAUGACCAGUUAAGAGAUAGGAGUAGAUUAGAUCUAAUCUAGGCAUUAUCUAUUAGGGAACUAAACUCCGAAUGAAGAAAGAACUCCUUAGAGGAUCAGGAGACAACUCCCUCUUAAGUCUAUAUAAAGGGGGUGGACUAGCCCCCAAGGGCAUCAUAAAAUCCUCCAAGAGAGCUUCAGCCUUGAGAGAGAGCAAUCGGCAACCAAGGAGGAAGAAGCAGAGUUCGCCUCCUCUCAUCUGGAAGCUGUGAUUUCAUCAUGAAGUAUUUGUAAGGUUUUAUUUUCUGGUUGAAGGGUUUGGGAAGCUUUGAUUCUAUAACAUUGUGAGAUUUAAUUGAUUUUAUUUUAGUUCAUUGUUUAUGGGUA